rnacentral:rRNA from 1 species
GAUGAACGCUGGCGGCGUGCUUAACACAUGCAAGUCGAACGAUGAACCUCACUUGUGGGGGGAUUAGUGGCGAACGGGUGAGUAACACGUGAGUAACCUGCCCUUGACUCUGGGAUAAGCCUGGGAAACCGGGUCUAAUACUGGAUACGACCUUCUGGCGCAUGCCAUGUUGGUGGAAAGCUUUUGUGGUUUUGGAUGGACUCGCGGCCUAUCAGCUUGUUGGUGGGGUAAUGGCCUACCAAGGCGACGACGGGUAGCCGGCCUGAGAGGGUGACCGGCCACACUGGGACUGAGACACGGCCCAGACUCCUACGGGAGGCAGCAGUGGGGAGUAUUGCACAAUGGGCGCAAGCCUGAUGCAGCGACGCCGCGUGAGGGAUGAAGGCCUUCGGGUUGUAAACCUCUUUCAGUAGGGAAGAAGCCGGCUUUUGGGUUGGUGACGGUACCUGCAGAAGAAGCGCCGGCUAACUACGU